GCGGGCGUAGCUCAGUUGGAUAGAGCAAAGGUCUUCUAAACCUUAGGUCGCUGGUUCGAGUCCAGUCGCCCGUGCCA
rnacentral:tRNA from 1 species